CUUCUCUAAUUGGUCAGUCAAUGUCGUGCCCCAGCCCUUUUCUUGGAAUCACUUUAGUAUAUUCCCUACUUAUUGAAAGACUACACAGCUGCAUGAAUAACACACAUCUGUGCAAAUUAGGUUUCCAGCAUUGUAUUUUUUCCAGUGGUAUUGAUCUGAUCUCUUCUCUUUCUUUGAUGAGAAAAAAAAAAAAAAGAACCCAACAAACCACCAAAAACCUCAAGAAAUCAACAAGAAAACAACUACAAAAGGAAAGGAAAACAAACAAAAGUUCCUGGCCCUGAAAAAGUUGACAAAAAUUCAACUAGAUUCCAUUGUGGAACUGCAUAAUAGUUAUUAUUAUCAGCUUGCACCAGAGAGGUCUGUCUUCCAGUCUCAAUGAAGUUGAACACUUCACAUAAUCCUUCCUACAAACUGACUAAAAUCUGCAAAGUGCAACAACUUAUUUCUUUUAUCACUGCCAGACUUUACUCAAAUUAUUCAAACAGACAAUGUUGAAAGACUUUACUUGGUAAUUGCUCUGUUUAAUCUUUCCUGGUCUGGCCACAUGUAAAUGACACAGAUAGGUAUGUUGCAAUUCUAAUGCACCCCAAGAUGUUUAAAAGUUACACCCAGUGUAAUGCUUUGUCUACAACAGCUGGACUGUAUUCAGAUGGGAUGGAAAGGAAAUUAAACCUAGACUAUCAUUUUUA